GUCUGUCGUCAGCAUGUUAUCAGCUUCCUGAAUUCGAUUUGCCAGAUACGGGGGCUCAAUGUCAAAGAAAUAGCUUGUUUCAAAUAGGAAAUUUCAACACUGAGGUGCGACACCACAUAUAAUUGAAAUGUGGCAGUCGUCUAAAAUGCCAGACGUCGGCAGGAAUCGAAUCACGCACCUCUUGAUUACCGCAUUGUCGCAGACUGUGUGUGUGUGCAUCCUCAAGUCGAGAAGUAGAGCAGAAGGUAGCCAACGACCCCAUCAACGCUGUUGCGUCCGUGUGACAUAUGCCGUGCAGAUGAAUGAUGGAUGGAUCCAAGUAAAACCUGGCUCUGGGACAACGGGAAGCUGGCGUGCACAGACGUGGCCCUGCUAUUCUUAUAUGAAAUAGGGCGCUAUUGGUGACGACGUGAACAAUGCACGGUUGCUGGAAGCAUCACCGGAAAAGUUCCAGUGUAAUGUUUGCAUCUCCCCGAGGCUCAGC